UACGUAGGGGGCUAGCGUUGUCCGGAUUUAUUGGGCGUAAAGAGCGUGUAGGCGGCCAGGUAGGUCUGCUGUGAAAACUCGAGGCUCAACCUCGAGACGUCGGCGGAAACCAUCUGGCUAGAGUCCGGAAGAGGAGAGUGGAAUUCCUGGUGGUAGCGGUGAAAUGCGCAGAUAUCAGGAAGAACACCCGUGGCGAAGGCGGCUCUCUGGGACGGUACUGACGCUGAGACGCGAAAGCGUGGGGAGCGAACAGG
rnacentral:rRNA from 1 species